CAGGCCUAACACAUGCAAGUCGGACGGUAGCACAGAGGAGCUUGCUCCUUGGGUGACGAGUGGCGGACGGGUGAGUAAUGUCUGGGGAUCUGCCCGAUAGAGGGGGAUAACCACUGGAAACGGUGGCUAAUACCGCAUAACGUCGCAAGACCAAAGAGGGGGACCUUCGGGCCUCUCACUAUCGGAUGAACCCAGAUGGGAUUAGCUAGUAGGCGGGGUAAUGGCCCACCUAGGCGACGAUCCCUAGCUGGUCUGAGAGGAUGACCAGCCACACUGGAACUGAGACACGGUCCAGACUCCUACGGGAGGCAGCAGUGGGGAAUAUUGCGCAAUGGGGGCAACCCUGACGCAGCCAUACCGCGUGUGCGAUGAAGGCCUUCGGGUUGUAAAGCACUUUUGGCGGGGACGACGAUGACGGUACCCGCAGAAUAAGUCACGGCUAACUUCGUGCCAGCAGCCGCGGUAAU
rnacentral:rRNA from 1 species